GGGGCUGAUUCUGGAUUCGACGGGAUUUGCGAAACCCAAGGUGCAUGCCGAGGGGCGGUUGGCCUCGUAAAAAGCCGCAAAAAAAUAGUCGCAAACGACGAAAACUACGCUUUAGCAGCUUAAUAACCUGCUUAGAGCCCUCUCUCCCUAGCCUCCGCUCUUAGGACGGGGAUCAAGAGAGGUCAAACCCAAAAGAGAUUGCGCGGAUGCCCUGCCUGGGGUUGAAGCGUUAAAACGAAUCAGGCUAGUCUGGUAGUGGCGUGUCCGUCCGCAGGUGCCAGGCGAAUGUAAAGACAGACUAAGCAUGUAGUACCGAGGAUGUAGGAAUUUCGGACGCGGGUUCAACUCCCGCCAGCUCCACCA
rnacentral:tmRNA from 1 species